AACGCGAAGAACCUUACCAGGUCUUGACAUCCUUUGACCACUCUAGAGAUAGAGCUUCCCCUUCGGGGGCAAAGUGACAGGUGGUGCAUGGUUGUCGUCAGCUCGUGUCGUGAGAUGUUGGGUUAAGUCCCGCAACGGGCGCAACCCUUAUUGUUAGUUGCCAUCAUUUAGUUGGGCACUCUAGCGAGACUGCCGGUGACAAACCGGAGGAAGGUGGGGAUGACGUCAAAUCAUCAUGCCCCUUAUGACCUGGGCUACACACGUGCUACAAUGGGAAGUACAACGAGUUGCGAAGUCGCGAGGCUAAGCUAAUCUCUUAAAGCUUCUCUCAGUUCGGAUUGUAGGCUGCAACUCGCCUACAUGAAGCCGGAAUUGCUAGUAAUCGCGGAUCAGCACGCCC
rnacentral:rRNA from 1 species